ensembl:lncRNA
CGGGGUCAGGUGCCACUCUACCAGGGCUGUCUCAACGUCAUGGGCUGCCCUGCGGGGCGUGCCCCUGGAAGACAUCUGUGAUGCAGCAUCAUGGACAUCACCAUGUACCUUUUCCAGGUUCUACCGGGUGAAUGUUGCCACUCCCCAUCCGUUGGCCCUGGUCCUGUUGCCCGACUCUGCUGUUCCCUCUCAAUGAGAAUCCUUGUGUACUCGCGAGAAGCUUCUGCAGGAACGGAUCCUCUGAUGUCACCGGAAGAUAUAGGCUGUCCAGAGCUCAUCAGGGGUCACAGGUGACUUUGUUUAUAUUAGGUACUCGAACUGUGCAUGCGCGAGACGGAUAAAUCCAGUGCUUGAAGCACGGUCAGUAAGGAUGAAAUAGAACCGACUCAUCGUGCUCCCAUUCACCAUAUAAGUGUUAAAAGGUUGUAUCAGCGAUGUAUAAAGUGAAAAAACCCACAACACCCACCCAUUGUCGGUGAUUGGUUGGAAUACUAUUUAUUUUGGUUUUUAGUGGUUUGUAGUACCAUGCUUAUGGGGCGGACAGCUAGCGGAUCGUGAGGAAAGGUCAGAUUAAUGUGAUCAUUUAUGUUUCGGCCUAGAAUCGUCGAAACAACCUUUAAUAUUCAAUAUUACAAACAUAAGUCGUUUCAUUAAGGUAAUUUAGUUUACUCAUUAAGGUAGAAUUUGUUGGUGUUUCUUCCUGUUUUUGGAUUAAUGCUUAAAUCCUCCCUAAAUUGUAUCCGUCAGGUUAUUAUUGGUGGUCCAAUGCAGUAAAAUGCUAUUCAACAUGUUUUCAAAUCUUACAUAGUGGGUGUAGUCGCAAAGAAGUAUGUCAGUGUUCUGUCUGUUGAUUGGCUUAAACACACCCACGUGUCAGCAUUGUGUUUGCAUUUUGAUUGGCUCGUUGUGAAAAUGGGCGGGCGUGAGAUUCAGCCUACGUAUAAGUACGUUUCCAGUUCGAGCUCUUUCUCUUUCAUAGGACAUGUGUGUUUUACCUGAGAAGUAGAAUGGAAAAGCUUGAAUGUUCCUAUGUUAAAGAAAUGAAAACUAGAGAAGACCACUGUCUGCAGUGUCCUCUCCACGAAACCGAACGACGAAGGGACCUGAACGGCAGAGGAAAUGGAACUUGACCAAAUGUGAGGCCUGGGUCUUUGGAAGAUGCUGGCCUUAAUGGAAACCGAUCCCUUAACAGUCAUUCUAGGUGACUGAGAACCAGGAUUGCCGAAACGUUGGCAUGGUCGUCUGCAGCGCUUGCCAACACUUGGUGAUGCUUUGCUAGAGCCAGGUGAGUUUCACCUCCUGCAUUGUUUUAAAGUCUGGUGUACGCAUCUUUGAAAACCCCUCUUGGACCUUUGUGGCCCACGGGACAAAAAAGGGUGCAAGAGAACGUUUGGAAUUCCAAGGUCGAGAGAUGUGUCAGUUUCUCUCGGCCAUUUCACCUCCAAGACAUCACCCACUUAAGAACUGGACUCCAGGAAAUGCUUGGAAAGAUGAUAAUCCUUUUGAAUAACAUUGUCUGUUUGUAACUUCUAGCUUUCUGUGGUUUACAGGAUGUUGUUAAUGAAGAUCCUUUCUAUGUUUUUGAAUUUUCAGAGCUUUGAAGCGACUCUUCGGAAGAGGAGCGUGACGGGUACACCCUCCAUGUAGCUUGCUUGACAUGGCUCUGUGACGGUUAUCCUGGGAUAACGUGACCUGCUGUUGAUGUUGCUGCAGGAGCCCUUGUUGAAUUCUUGAGUGCAACUUUCGCCCAGCCAAUGGCUUCCCUGUUUCCAAUAGGUUGAGGCUUUUGUUCAGUUUUUUUUUUUACAGAAUAUUAAUUGAACAUUUAAUUGUGUCUCUUUGUAACAUUUAUGUACCGCUCUCAAAUGGUAACUGUUGAUCGAGUUUGCAACUUGUACAAAAUAAACUUGAUGUUGCCUAAAUGAUUGUGGUCCCCCCCUAUUUCUUCCACUUAUUAAGGCUAUACUAGAUUCCUGUGUGUCUGGACAUUGAAAUAUGCUUGUAUAAAAGAUCCAGUAGUUAAAAGGUUAGCUUUAUCCAUGGCUAGCUGUGAUUCACCUGGUCAUUUCUUAUAGACAUUGCAUAAAGUGGCGUGGUGAUGAACGAAUCAGUUGUAUUUGGCAUUUGCACGGAAAAUACUUUGUGUGGAUGUAAUAUGUAAAUUGGGCCUACG